UACGUAGGGCGCAAGCGUUAUCCGGAAUUAUUGGGCGUAAAGAGCUCGUAGGCGGUUUGUCGCGUCUGCCGUGAAAGUCCGGGGCUUAACUCCGGAUCUGCGGUGGGUACGGGCAGACUAGAGUGCAGUAGGGGAGACUGGAAUUCCUGGUGUAGCGGUGAAAUGCGCAGAUAUCAGGAGGAACACCGAUGGCGAAGGCAGGUCUCUGGGCUGUAACUGACGCUGAGGAGCGAAAGCAUGGGGAGCGUACAGG
rnacentral:rRNA from 1 species